CCUGAAACUGGCGCCUUAGACCAACUCGGCCAUCUUGACAUACUCCUUACCCGAGUGUGGCAGUUAUAAUUAGGUAAAAACUCAAUUUCAUGUUCUUCUUCAAAACCUCUACGUGAAUCUCGUCAGUCCUUUCUGUAUGAAUCCAAAUGAAUUUUCUCAUCGGCCAAAACUUGGGGAAAAAAUUCCCGAGUUUCGCUUCCAGACUCGUAUCCUCGCUUGCCGUUAUUGAAAACUCGUCAAAUUUUCUCGCCGAACAUGGACAAAAUCUCAUUCCUUUUGACCCGUUUCACUUCUUCCGUGAGCAUAGAAAAUCAGGAAAGUGUAGCGUCAGAGUUGCAAAAGUUGUACAUACCCAGUUGCUCAAAUCAGCUGCAUUACACUCUAACAUCUUUGUCGCGAACUCUUUACUGGACUGGUAUUGUAAAUACGCGGGCAUGGUUGAUGCACUCCUGUUGUUCGAUACAAUGGCUAGCCCAAAUGUUAUUUCAUGGAAUAUCCUUAUUUCGGGUUGUAAUCAAGAUCAUUUAUUCGAGGAUUCGUGGAAGAUUUUCUGUAGGAUGCAUUCAUUGGGUUUCGAGCCCAAUGAGAUUACCUAUGGGAGUGUUCUUUCAGCUUGUACUGCUUUUCAGGUCCCUAUAUUCGGUAAGCAGGUCUAUUCACUUGCUAUGAAAAAUGGGUUCUUUUCGAAUGGUUAUGUUCGGGCUGGAAUGAUAGAUUUGUUCUCGAAAAAUUGCAGCUUCGAGGAUGCCUUGCGGGUGUUUCAUGAUGUUUUCUGUGAGAAUGUCGUCUGUUGGAAUGCUAUUAUUUCUGGGGCCGUUAAAAAUGGAGAGAACCGGGUUGCUUUGGAUCUUUUUCACGAAAUGUGUUGUGGAUCGUUUCUGCCAAAUAGUUACACAUUUUCAAGCAUUUUAGGUGCUUGUGCUGCUCUUGAAGAACUUGAUGUCGGAAAAGGAGUUCAAGGGUGGGUGAUUAAAUGUGGUGCAGGAGAUGUCUUUGUGGAAACUGCUAUAGUUGACUUGUAUGCCAAGUGCGGACUUAUGGGAGAAGCUGUUGAAGAGUUCUUGCAGAUGCCGAUUCGAAAUGUGGUUUCUUGGACUACGGUUAUCUCUGGUUUUGUGCAGACGGACGAUUCUACUUGUGCCCUCAAGUUUUUCAAAGAUAUGAGAGAACUAGGUGUAGAAAUAAACAACUACACUGUCACCAGUGUAGUUACUGCAUGUGCUAAGCUGGCCAUGAUUGAAGAGGCAAUCCAAGUCCAUUCCUGGAUAUUAAAAGCUGGUUUCUAUUCGGAUGCAGCAGUGGGGGCUGCUUUGAUCAACAUGUACUCUAAAAUAGGAGAGUUUGAUCUAUCUAUGUUGGUCUUCAAAGACGUUGGAAGUCUAAAGAAUCCCGUUGUCUGGGUUGCAAUGAUAUCUGCUUCUGCUCAGAAUCAGAAUCCUGGAGAAGCACUAGAAAUAUUUCGGAAGAUGUUACAAGAAAGCCUGAGACUAGAUAAGUUUUGUAUUUCUAGUCUUUUGAGCGUUAUAGGCUGUUUAAACUUGGGGAGACAGAUCCAUUGCUACACUCUUAAAACCGGAUUAGUCUCUGAUGUUUCAGUAGGUAGUGCGCUUCUCACAACGUACUCAAAGAGUGGUAGUUUGGAGGAAUCCCACAAAGUUUUUGAGCAAAUUCUUGAACGAGACAAUGUUUCAUGGGCUUCAAUGAUUGCUGGUUUUGCAGAACAUGGAUGUGCUGAUCAAGCCAUUAAAUUAUUUGGUGAAAUGCUGCUUGAAGAAAUUGUACCUGAUCAGAUGACCUUAACUGCAACCUUAACUGCAUGUUCUGCUCUUCGUUCUUUACAGAAAGGUAAAGAAAUUCAUGGUUAUGCUCUUCGUAUUGGAGUUGGGAAAGAUGUAGUUGUUGGUGGUGCACUUGUGACCAUGUACUCAAAAUGUGGAACCCUUGAAUUGGCAAAAAGUGUGUUUGAUAUGCUACCUCAAAAGGACCAAGUUGCACGCUCUUCUUUGAUUUCAGGUUAUGCCCAAAAUGGAUACAUUGAAAAGGCCCUUAUGCUGUUCUUUGAUAUGCUCAUGGCUGAUUUGGCCAUUGACUCUUUCACGGUUUCAUCUGUGUUGGGUGCCAUUGCACUUUUGAAUAGAUCAGAUAUUGGAACUCAAAUGCAUGCCCUCAUCGCAAAGAUGGGUUUGGAUUCAGAUAUUUCUGUUGGAAGUUCACUGGUGACAAUGUACUCAAAGUGUGGAAGCAUAGAAGAAUGCCGCAAAGCAUUUGAUCAGAUAGAGAAGCCUGAUUUGAUUGGUUGGACGGCUAUGAUUGUCAGCUAUGCUCAACAUGGGAAAGGUACUGAGGCUUUAAGGUUAUAUGACCUUAUGAGGAAAGAAGGAAUUAAACCAGAUUCAGUGACCUUUGUUGGGGUUCUAUCGGCUUGUAGCCAUAAUGGAUUGGUUGAAGAAGCCUAUAUCCAUCUUAAUUCGAUGGCAAAAGACCAUGGGAUUGAACCUGGUUAUCGUCAUUAUGCCUGCAUGAUCGAUCUUCUUGGUCGGUCAGGGAGAUUGAAAGAGGCUGAAAGCUUCAUUAAUGACAUCCCUAUCAAACCUGAUGCUUUGGUUUGGGGAACCCUACUGGCUGCCUGCAAAGUACAUGGAGAUAUUGAGCUUGGGAAGCUAGCAGCCAAAAAGGUUAUGGAGUUAGAGCCAUGUGAUGCUGGAGCUUAUGUUUCCUUCUCAAACAUCUGCGCGGAUGUGGGCCAAUGGGAAGAAGUCCUGAAGAUUAGAAGCCUGAUGAAGGGAACUGGGGUGAAGAAGGAACCUGGCUGGAGCUUUGUGUGAUGUUGCCAUGAGUGGUGAGUCUUGAUGUUUGGAGAUUUAGAUCUUUCAGUGUUAUAUCCUUGUAAGGUUCAAAUGGAAUUGAAACCCUUACAAUUUGGAGGGCCAAGAAAGUUGAUGGAUGUCUCAUGAGAAAGUAUAGCAACAAGGACUGAUUUUAACUAAUGAGAGGUUGUGCUCUGUCCAAAAAUGCAUACUGUACAACUGGUCUAUAUCUCACCAAGACCAGCAUUAAGCUCACCUUAAAUCUGGCUGAUCUGAUGAUAACCUGCGGAAACCCCAACGGAUUGGACACUUGAUAUAAAAGGGGUGACUCAGAGACCCGCUUGGGCUAGAGGAGCUUGUCAUACUGUGUACACAUGUAAGUCCUUGAGACCCAUUGUAUUUAUGCUCCUUGACUCUAAUCUUGGUAUACAAACAUGCAAGUUGGUGUAGGCGUAUGUUUACUUCGGGGCAUCAUGUGUCUCAUACAUGUCCACCCUAUACCAUUUUAUAUCUAUGUUCCACAAGCUACCCCUUUUAAUAUAUAAUCCUUUCUACUUAACAUUUGACAAUGACGGCCAAAGAUGGAGGCGCAGGGAGCUUUGAUGAAGCCUGCCUCUUUUAAAAGACAGCUUAAAUGGGGGCUGUUAAAACACUGAUUUUAACUUGUGUAACUACGUCAAAUUGCAUGAUCCUGCAAAAUGACAUUACUAAGCUUUCUUUAUAAAAUAUUCAACUCAAUACCAUAAUGACUUUAUGGAUGAGCUUCCUAUUCUAUUGCUCAAUAUUUUACAUCUAGGUCAUAAUUUUAGCGGUCUCAUCCCAAUACUAGCUGAUUAUGAUGGUUUUAGUAUACUGAAUGCAUAGAGAAACGGGUUCGUGUCAACGACAACAUUGUUAAUAUUACAAUUAUAUCUUAUUGCAUUAUAUCUUGUUGCUCCAACUGAUGUUGGGCCUUUCCAUGACUUGCUGGUUUCUGUAUCUUCAAUCUUAUUCCACAGAUUUAAAAUUCUUUUAUGCUCAAUCAAUGUGGCUGCAUUCUACUACGCUGCCGUGCAUCUUGGUUGGGAACCCUCAUCGGUGGAUUUGGUCAAAGUAGUAGGACUGGAAAUUUGUGACAACUUCAAAUUCCAAAAUGAAUCUAACGUGACAUUAAAGAUGUUAGAGCUUGGGUUGAUCGGACUGGAAAGUAUGAGCAAUUCCUUUGUAAGAAAUUAUAUGACUAGUCAUAGUGUGCAUAAGCGUCGUGUACUCUUUUUUAAUAAAAUAAAUAAAUAUGAGAUCUACAUGAAAAAAUAAU